AAGCCAGCCAAAUAAUCUGCUUACCUGAAUGUGUUUCUGCAGAAAGUUUUUAAAAAGCUGGCAAUAGGAAAGCCAUGUUACGAGCCUUACGGACAUUGAAGUCGUUAAGGUCCCUGAAAAUGGCUAUAACA